CCUAUUCUUCUGAAACUAUUCUUCGCUUCUCAAUACUACUUCUUCCUUCGCGCCAUCCUUCACCCAACGUUCAGAGAAUUCUUCCCUCGUUUAUUUCACCUUCUUCUCUCAUUGAAUCCAUCAUUUUCUUUCACAAUAUUCAGAAACUCCUAUUAUUUCCAAACGAAAUCACUUGAACCACCGUGAAUUCCUCUCUAUGUCGAACACGUAAACCUUCUUAUCUCUGUCAAACUAGACUUUCAUUCACGAAAUCAGAAACUCUAAACCAAAACCGACUGAACAUAGAACUCAAAAAUCCCAAAAUUUCAUCGAAACCCUAAAAUUUUGUUUGAACCCAGAAAUCGGAAAUUGAUUGAUUUGCUUUUUGAAAUCGAUUGAAAAUCUAAAACCCUUUCCAUAAAAUUGAUUAGUUUGCAUCAACGACACUCUCCACGGUGUCUUUAACGUCCUCCCCCUCCUGUGUUCAUUUCUGCCAGCAGUCCUUGAAGGUGCCUUCUUCGCCGCCACCACUGUCGAAAGAUUCAUACUCGACAAACUAAAAUUCGAAUUCGUCUGAAUCAUCUAAACCUUGCACAUGUCCAAACUUUGCUAUAUUGUCAUUCCAAAUGAUAACCAGUGUUUUUCGACUUGAUAUGUUGACAGAUUUCUAAUUUGUGGCGAGUUUCUCGACUUGCUAUGUCAAUUGUUUUCUUAUUUCCAUUGAUGUUAUAGAUUCAUAUUGAUUAUUUGUUUAGAAUUUUUAUUGUAUCAUGAACCCACAAGCUAAAUUACAAGCUCAAGAUUGAGCUCAUAGGAUCGGUCAAACAGGGUAGGCAAGACAAAGUGGGUGGGCAAGACAGAAUGAAGAAAGGUUUUUUCUUCCGAAAAGAGGACAAUCAAGUGGAUGCUGUUGAAAAGAGUGCAAAAUAGACAAAGUUAUUCUUCAUUUAUGUUGUGGACAACUGGGAUGCUAAAUUUUAUACUAAGUUCUAGUUGUUAAUUCAGGGGACUUCUUUGGCUUCCCUUCACAAACCCAAACUUCAUGCUGAGGUUCUAAAAGAGCGCGACGCCGUUUUUGCCAACUGUGACGUGCCCCCACCAGUAUCGUAUGGACCAUAGUGGAGGAUGCUGAGGAAAGUUUGUGUAUUUAAUUUGAAGGAGGAGAGUGAUUCCAAGACGCCAUUCACAAACACUCACUUUAAGGAGCUUCUCAUGAGUUGUUGGUUGGCUGGCUAGUGACCUAGUGACUUCAAAAGAGAUGAAGGUAUAGACAUUUUGUGAGACAAAAAAGCACUCCAGCAUCUUACCAGGACAUCAAAGAAAAUAAGAAAUGGAGCUUUCAUCAGUGACUCAAACAAGCAUAAGGAACUAGUUUUAUGCAUAGGCGUGUUUCGCUUGGUCAUAAGUUCAAUCAUUGUUGUUUAUUUGUAUGAGAGGUUUGUAUUUUCUACACGAUGUUUUGAUAUAUUAAUUAAGCAUUCAGACUGAUUCAAUUCUAGCAAAGGUUGUUUGUGUGUAUGUUAGUUUUGGUGGCUCUCGAUACUGGGUGUUCGGAGAGAGCAUGGUGCAUGAACACAUUGGCGUUGUAUAAUUCUUGCAAUUAAGGAUUUUGUCUGAAAGUGUUGUGGUGUACUUUUUUUAAAAUUUUCUAGUAGCCUCGGAUGGAUAAGUUUUGGGUCUCCACCGUGAUUGAUUCUUGUAAAUAGAAAUAAUUGUAAUUAAAUUUUCAAUUGACACAAAUUUACUAACCAUGUAUUUUCUUGUUACAUGUUAUGUUGAUAUUUAUAUUUUAGAAAAGCUGAUGUGUUAUGUUUACAAAAAUAGUUACAAGAUCAUUAUGUUUCUGUUAGUACCAAAAAAAGGGCAUUUAAUAGC